ensembl:lncRNA
UUUUUUUUUUUUUUNUUUUUUUUUUUUUUUUUUGCUUUUUAGGGCCACAUCCAUGGCAUAUGGAACUUCCCAGGUUAGGGGUGGAAUCAGAGCUGUAGCUGCUGGUCUAUGCCACAGCCACAGAAACGAGGAAUCCAAGCUGCAUCUGUGAACCACAGGGCAGCUUGCAGCAAUGUCAGAUCCUUAAUCCGCUGAGCCACAAUGGGAACUCCCCUGCACAUGCCAUUUUUGAUCACCUCUCUUUUAGCCACCCUUCUCGUAUGGAUCAUAUUUUCUUGGGCAGCAAUUGCUUAUCUGGAAUGUGAAUCCUUGUCUUUGGAAAGUUUCAUUCUGACCCACUUCUGCCUUGAACUAUUCUGCCUCCUUAUACAAAUGCCCAGUUUCUCUGGUCUUUCUGCAGCCAAAACCUUACAGCCCAAAAUUUCACAUCUUGAACUCGGCACCACCUUCUCUUUUAAUGCCUUUUCUUUGUCUCCUUACUUUCCCCUGGUGUAUCCUGAUUAAACUACCUGCAAUAAUUACUUUGCUGUCUUUUCAAAUCCCCUCCUGCUAAGGUGCAUUGUUUUUCUGGGGGAAGGAAUUCUGUCCCAGAGCUAUUUCCAUCCGGUUAUUUGCAUCUUCUAAAAUACAGAGUGGUGGAGUUCCCUUCGUGGUGCAGUGGAAACAAAUCCGAAUAGGAACCAUAAGGUUUUAGGUUCGAUUCCUGGCCUCGGUCAUGGGUUAAGGAUCUGGCGUUGCUGUGGUGUAGUUCGUGCACUCGGCUCAGAUCUGGCUUUGCUGUGGCUGUGGUGUAAGCCAGCAACUGUAGCUCCGAUUAGACUGUAGUUCUGAUUAGAACUGGGAACAUCCAUAUGCAGGCUUAAAAAACAAUAAAUAAAAUAAAAUAAAAUGAGUGGCUUCUGAAUGAACACAAUGCCUGACAUCGGUUUUGUAAGUUGUCCUCUCCCCGACUAGAUAUUUAUUCCUGGAUUCUCUGGCACUCCUUACCAAAUAUAUAUCUGUCAUUUCCACAUAUUCAGAAGAGGGGGGAAGCUACUGGCUAUCUGAGCCCCAGUAAUUAAGAAGUCUCCUUUUGUUUUUGCAAAGUAUAUUUUACCUCCUAAAUUAAUGGAGCCAAAUCUUUGAAAUUCCAUCUUGUUGGCCUAAUGCUGUGAACUGCAUUUGUACCAGCCCUACCUCUCCUGUGCCUACUCCAUUCCUAACUUCAGACAAGAUAACUCAUCUAGUCUCAGAGGUCUGAUACCGGAACUCUCACUAAUCCAACUAGCUCUCUCAUUCCCACAACAGGCAAUAAUCCUGAAAGAUGUAGAUGAAUUGCUGAGCAGGUGCCUUUAGCUUGAAAUCUCUAAAGCCAGCACAAAAUAACUUAAUUGCAUCUUAGGGCCUUUCACUCCAUUCCCAGAACCCCGGGGUAACUGAGAUUUCUCUAUAUCAAUGGUGUGAAUUGCUAUAACCAUUGAAGAACACUCUUCCGCAUUGCAGGCCCACUUCGAAAAUACACCUACCCGUGCCUGAGCAAUUCUCCUCUUAGGUAUCAUAGUAUUUCCCAUUCUGCUGUAACCAUGAAAUUAUUACGAACUCGGUGGCUUAAUAUAACAGAAAUUUAUUCUCUCACUUUUCAGGGGGUUAGAAGUCAGAAAUCAGUAUUACAUAGUCAAAAGCAAGGGGACCACAGGGCCUGUUCCCUCUAGCGGCUCUAGGAGAGAAUCGAUCCCUUGACUUCUCCAGGUUAUGGUGCAGCUCGCUGGCCUUGGCUUAUGACGGCAUCACUCCAUUUCCACCUACAUGGUCACGUAGCCUCUUCCACUUCUGUCCGCAUCAAACUUCCCUUGCCCCUCUUUUCUAAGAACGCUUGUGAGUGAGUGCAUUUAAAUUCGACCUGGAGAUUUCAGGAUGACC